rnacentral:lncRNA from 1 species
GAAAAGGACACAGAGACCCCCAACGUUUGAAUAAGGGACAUAAAACUCCCUAAUGUUUCAAAAAAGACACUCAGGUCCCAAUUGGUUAACAGAAACUGUUUGUUUUAACAGAAAUUAUAAUUUUAAAGUGCAAUUACCAUUAUACCCUUAUAGCAUAUUAAAAGCUAAUUGUAUUAAUAGCACACCUCCGAAAUACCCCUUUAAAUGACAACCAUCCAAUCCAAUAAACCAUCGACAUCCAUUAAUGAAUCCAUUCUUCAAAGCAACAAAGCUAAGCAUAAAUCUCUGAAACUUCUGAAACUUCAAAGCUGGUCUUCUAUCUUUAUCAAAACUAGACACAAAUUUCAUCUUUACUAACGUAUUGGGAUUGCUUUGUUUGAGUAUUUGGGCAUAAUCCCUUAGCCUCUGAUAAGAAUUUGCAUAGUUCCCAUUUAAUUUGAUAAAGAAAAUUCCAUGCACAUCUAAAAAUUGAUAAAGAAAAGAAAUAACAAAAGUAAUCAGCAAGAAUUCUCCAAUAAACCGGACAAAUUAAGAACUCUGUUCAUCAAACAACCAUAAACCAAAAAAAAAAAUUAUGUAAUCAUUUAUUUAUAUUCUUGCACAUACAUCACAUAUGCAUCAAACAUGCUAGAGAAGUUAAUUUAGUAAAAAAAAUGAAAAUUAAAGAGAAAAAAUAGGAUUUAAGAGAAUUGAACCCUGGAUUCCACAAGCAAGAGCAGCAACCAAAAGCGAGCACAAGCAGCAGCCAAACGCGAGAUUCCACAAGCAAGAGCAGCAACCAAACGCGAGCACAAGCAGCAGCCAAACACGAGCACAAGCAGCAGCCGAAAGCGAGCUCAAGCAGAAGCCGAACGCGAGCACAAGCAGCAGCCAAACGCGAGCACAAGCAGCAGGCACAAGCAGCAGCCAAACGCGAGAUUCAACAAGCAAGAUCAGCAACCAAACGCGAGCACAAGCAGCAGCCAAAUGCGAGCAAUUCCAGCAGCCAAACGCGAGCAGUUCCAAUAGCCAAACGCGAGAUUUCAGCAGUUCCAACAGCACAAGCAGCAGCCAAACGUCGAUCGCGAGCAGAUCCGGCAACUAGACUCGGUCUCGUUCGACGCACGAGUAGUUCCAGCAGCUUCCGGUAGUGUGAGCAGCAACUUCCGGCAGCCCCAGCAGCGUUCGGCAAGGCAAACCGUGAGUGUGUGUUAAAAGAUUUGUCUGGAAUCAGUGUGCGUGUGUGGGGGGUUUGUUUGUGCGUGUGAUGCGUGUGUGGGUUUUUAGUCAAUUCACUUGUUUUUAAUUUGUAAUUACGAUAUUAACCUUUUAAUGAUUUAACGAAACGAUUUCCGUUAAUUAAUUGGGACCUGAGUGUCUUUUUUGAAACAUUAGGGAGUUUUAUGUCCCUUAUUCAAACGUUGGGGGUCUCUGUGUCCUUUUCCCU